GUUUCUUCAGCCCUUUCUAUGCUCAAGCUGGAUCUUCCCUUCUGCUAUGAGUGACUAAAGAGAAAAAGGGCAACUUCUGCAUGAGGAAAUUAUUUUGUUUCUCAGAAUGUCAUGCCAUCAUCUCAGGCUGUGUGGGUACCGUACGUUCACCAACAUGUGAGAAUUCUAUGGCAGUCACUUUUCUUGCCCCAGAAACUACACUGUUCUUUGCCUCGUACUGUGAACAUAUGGAAAAUCCCAAUUCACGUUGUAUCACAUACCAAUCUCAAAGCACCAAGAGGAGGAAGAGAGCCCUCAAGCUCUAAAGGGAACCUGAGACAGAAGAACAAGUCUUGGCUCAAGCUUGCUGCCUCUCACGGCCCUUUUAACACCUUGUUGAAACCAG
rnacentral:lncRNA from 1 species